rnacentral:rRNA from 1 species
UACGUAGGGCGCAAGCGUUAUCCGGAAUUAUUGGGCGUAAAGAGCUCGUAGGCGGUUUGUCGCGUCUGCCGUGAAAGUCCGGGGCUCAACUCCGGAUCUGCGGUGGGUACGGGCAGGCUAGAGUGAUGUAGGGGAGACUGGAAUUCCUGGUGUAGCGGUGAAAUGCGCAGAUAUCAGGAGGAACACCGAUGGCGAAGGCAGGUCUCUGGGCAUUAACUGACGCUGAGGAGCGAAAGCAUGGGGAGCGAACAGGAUUAGAUACCCUGGUAGUCCAUGCCGUAAACGUUGGGCACUAGGUGUGGGGGACAUUCCACGUUUUCCGCGCCGUAGCUAACGCAUUAAGUGCCCCGCCUGGGGAGUACGGCCGCAAGGCUAAA